rnacentral:rRNA from 1 species
UGGUCGCGCAACGAGGAAUGUCUCGUAGGCGCAGCUCAUCAAACUGUGCCGAUUACGUCCCUGCCAUUUGUACACACCGCCCGUCGUUGUUUCCGAUGAUGGUGCAAUACAGGUGAUCGGACAGUCGGGCGUCUCGCCUGACCGAAAGUUCACCGAUAUUUC